GCUAGGCUAGGUUAGUUUGGAGGCCUGUCUGCUCUGGUUUGGUGAGAAGAAGAGUAAAAAAAUGAACCAAAUAAUGAAGAAACGAAUUUUAGAGCAAAGUACAAAGAGAGGAAGAAAAAAAAGGAAGCAAUAAUUUGAUAAGGCUAGGCUAGGUUAGUUUGGAGGCCUGUCUGCUCUGGUUUGGUGAGAAGAAAAGUAAAAAAUAACCAAAUAAUGAAGAAAUAGAAGAAGGAGAAAAAAGGAAGGAAUGAUUUGACAAGGCUGGGCUAGGUUAGUUUGGAGGCCUGUCUGCUCUGGUUUGGUGAGAAGAAAAGUAAAAAAUAACCAAAUAAUGAAGAAAUAGAGGAAGGAGAAAAAAGGAAGGAAUGAUUUGAUAAGGUUAGGCUCGGUUAGUUUGGUGACCUGUCUGCUUUGGUUUGGUUAGGGCUGUUAAGGAACCUUCUGUGUAAUGAUCUCAUGGUACGGAGCCGUGGUGUGAAGGGGUAACUAAGACUUAGGCUGAGGAUAACCUUAAGUUGCUCUGACGUUUGAUUCUUGUAUUUUUAAAGGCUGAUUACAUGCAAUAACCUGAAGUUGCCGCUGUCGUUUAGUGUUCGUUUAGUUUAAUUUAAAAGGACAAUUGAGACAGAAUACGCUGCCCCAUAUGUAAGAAUUUCCCUCUCCUUCGUUUGAUUUACUUGUGUUCGGAAGGAGAGGAAGAAGAGGAGGAUGUUUUGCAGGAGAUUACGAUAGUGUCAGGCUUGCAUCACAGUGACAGGGAGUGCAGAUGUCUGGCAUUGCAUCAUAUACUCCAUUCCGCUUGGCACUCACAUCGAGGGGGAAAAACUCAUCAAAUGCUCCAGGAAACUUGACGUGGAGUAUAAAAAUUAACUGCUAUCAGAUUAAAGGUUAACUUGACUGAUGGUGAUUCUGAUGAUGACAAAAAUAAGCUGCUGUCAGAAUUGAGCUUUAUUUGACUUUGUAUUUCACACUUAUCUCAGUUCAGCUUUCCAGUUCUAGCAUUCAUAUCAGGAAAAAAAUUAUAUAGACUCCAGGAAACUGAACUUGAGGUAUUGAGCGUGAAAUGUCAUCAGUGAAGCUUGAUUUUUUGGCCUUGUAUGGAAGUGUUGUACCCCAGCUCAGUUUUCAAGCAUCCAUAGCAAAAAAAAAAAGGGGGGGCUUAGGAAUUUGAGUAAAAGUGAGGAUUAAUAAUUGAAAUGUUGCCAAGGUGAUCCAGCAUUCAAAUUAGAGAAAAAGUGACCUGGACUUUGAGUGACGUUUAGGUGUGAAAAUUGAAACAAGUGUCACCAAUUAUAAACUUUUGAGAAUUUUGACAGCUGUUCUUGCCUUGACUCUAUUUUGGAGUUCUCAUAUUGGAAAAAAAUACAUUGAAAAUUGAAUGGUGUCGGGAGUUUGAAAAUUUUAACUAUUUUUUUUUUUUUUUUUUUUUUUUUUACACUAGAGGCAGCUCAAGAAAAAAAAAAAAAAAAGGAACCCACUAACACUGGUCCAAUAAAAGUAAAUAGAGACAAGUGGCCAGGAGAGAGGUCAAGCAGCUUAUUUUCCGCCAACGAUCUGAGUGCCGAACGGAAUGGUGUCCGCACCUAUUGUCAAACGCACCCUUGCAUCCUGCGUUGUAGUGUACAUAAUAGAUGAAAACAAUAUCACUGGUCAUUCCCUCCCUCCCUGCCUCACCCCAACACACACACACACACACACACACACACACACACACACACAUGUACCACUGAUCACUGUCACUCUUCAUCACCACUGGGUUGUGUUCGCCCUUCCCCUGCGCACCAAUCAUCAGCUGGAUCAUGUCGAGGGGAAAACCUUACUCGCUAAAUUAAGUUACGCAUGAAAAUUUAAUUCUCGAGAUGAAGAUUCGUAAACGUCUAUAUCUUGACAGUAUGGUAACCCCUUCUGUCUAACGAGCCUUUGCUUACGAGACUUGGGUUUAUCGAACUAUAUAUCAGGUCGUUUCACUCCACUGGCUGUUGUUAAGAGUAUGUGAUUCCCUUCUGGUAAUUCUCUGGUUUUCUCUCCACUCCUAUCUAGUGAACUUUUGCUUUUAGUUGGUUGGAGAGCUUGUAAUACAGGUGUUAGUGUUACCCUCUUCUUCCUCUUGUGACCUAUAUUGCUUUGUAGGUCCUCCUCCUCAGGAUCCUCUCUUCUGCUUAAUCACACACUUUGCUUUUCAAUUGCAUCACUACUCAUGCUUUCUCACUGGAAGGAAUUAUGGCACCCAAACUUUCUUGUAUCUACUUAUUUUCCUGUGGUUCGAAUCUCCUCUUGAUCAUUUAUUCAGCUUAAUCACACACUCAACUUUUCAUUUGCAUCACUGCACUCACAACUUCUCACUGAAAGGAACUGUGGCAAUCAAACUUUCAUAUUUUCUAUUUAUCUUCUGGCUUGGUUUGUUCCUAAUCAGUUUGUUGGAUAGAGGGAUUACUGUGUUGAAUUCUUGUACCUGGACUUAGGUUUUCCAUAGCAUAAGGUUUUCUCUGACAUGAAUUCUGACGGGCGUUGUGUGUGCAGGCCGGUCGGUGGACAGGCCCUCCCAAUACUUCUUGCAAUAUAGACUAAGUGAAAAAUACAUCCCCAUUAUCGGAACCCACAUGAAUUACAUUCUUAAGAGGAUUAUUAUCAUUAUUAUCAUCAUUAUUAUUAUUAUUGUUACAUCUGCUUUGUGAAUACAUUAUUAUUAUUAUUUUCUCUGGUUUAAUAGUGUUCUCUUCUCUCUGGCUAUCAUGUGUUUUAAGUAAAUGUUAAGGCUUGUAAGGAAUCCAGGUUAAGAUUUUUGAGGAAUCCAUCAGUCUUUGUAAAGGAUGAUGACAUUUUGGUGAAGUAAGAAGGAAUGAGAGAAGUAAUUAAAUCGAAACGUUUCCUCGUGUACUGAAGGAAUCAACCUAUCUUGGUUAAGGAUGACAGUAAUGGUUAUGUGAAGUGUCCUAAGGGGAAGGAGAAACUAAAUAUAACCCCACUUUUUAAAUGAAUAACAACCCUUUUGAAAUAUAACAACCCUCUUGAAAUGUGUGAAACUUCAGUAAGGUAAAUGUGAUGGUAAGACAAUUAUGAGAGACCAUAGUUGCUGUACACCAAGUUGGUUCAGAAGCCAACCCUGCCCCUCUUCCACAGAUGCAGGAGCUGAUUGGUUGGAUAAAAGGAGCUUGAAGUUAGGAGUCAGUGUUACUUUGGAGGGAGGGUGAGGGAGGGGGCAGGGCUUUUGGACCAACGUAGUGUGCGGUGACUAUAGUAAAGUGUUUGUGCUGGUGAGACGAAGUAUGAGAGACUUCAGUAAGAUCAGUGUGAUGGUGAGACAAAGAAAUAUUAGAGACUUCAGAAAGACCAAUGUGAUGGUGAGACAAAGAAAUAUGAGAGACUAGUAAUGUGUAUAUGCUGGUGAGACAGAAACAUGAGACUUCAGUAAUAAAAAUGUGAUGGUGAGGUGGAGAGAGGUGCGGAAGGACUAAACAGUUGCUCAAGGAUGUCUGUUCUGGCAGAAGACUCCCUGCGCUGCAAGCAGUGUGGAAUGUGUGACACCGGCUCCAGACAGCAUCCUUCUUCUAGGUUGCCAGCACUUAUACAAAGAUAUUUAGUAUUAUAAGCUUCUCUUAUUUAUUUAUUCUUGAUUGAGAUUGUAAGUUUAGCUUAAAUUUCUUUAAGGAGGCAUUAUUAUUAUUAUUAUUAUUAUUAUUAUUAUUAUUAUUAUUAUUAUUAUUAUUAUCAUCACUUAUUAUUAUUAUUAUUAUUAUUAUUUAUAUAUAACUUUUUGUAAACGCUUCUCAUCUUUAGAAUGUGAGUUGGGUGAUGGGCAGGUGAGGGUCAAGAGUUCAGGAAUGACCUCCAGUAUUAUCAGCAGAAAAGGUCAGGUCAAUUCAGGUCACCCACCAGAAGAGCAGGAUCAGAUUCCUCUAUGAUUGAAGUGGAGUAGCUCCUUAAAGCAUCACGCUGCAUGGACUCAUUAACAAAUGGUGUUGAAUUAUAAGAAUGGUCAGAUUGAAAAGAUUCCUUAACAAGUGGUGUUGAAUUACAUGAAUUACAUACAAAAAAAGGUUUAUUUAAUUACUUUGAAAAUAAUAAAUAUAGAUUCCUUUACAAGUUGGUUGAAUUACUUUAAGAAGGGUCAGAAUGUACAGAUUUCCCGACAAAUUGUGCUGAAUUACUUUGGGAGGACAGUUACUGUUUUGGUUGGCCAGUCCUGGUCUUGGGAUCUUAAUCACCUUACUUUGUACCACCUUAGUCUAAGGAAUUAAAUAAACAGUGAGUGUAAGAAAAUAUUAAGAAAAAGUAAGAUUAAGAAAGAAAUAUAUAUAUCUAUAUAUGUUGUAAGUUUACUGAUCAGAUAUGUCUUUCUUUUUCUUUCUUCAUAGAUAUAUUUAUAACAAUCUUGCAUUCACUGUGUCCCUGUAAGAGUAUAAUAAUAAUGAUAAUAUUAAUGUUAUUUAUUGUCAAUAGAACCAACCAUUCAUUGGCUGACAUUUAUCACGACCCACAACAAACCUGUACAUAUUGAACCUGUCACGCAUUUCAUUAAAGAAUAAUCAACUUUA